CCUACGGGGGGCAGCAGUGGGGAAUAUUGCACAAUGGGGGAAACCCUGAUGCAGCGACGCCGCGUGAGUGAAGAAGUAAUUCGUUAUGUAAAGCUCUAUCAGCAGGGAAGAAAAUGACGGUACCUGAGUAAGAAGCCCCGGCUAACUACGUGCCAGCAGCCGCGGUAAUACGUAGGGGGCAAGCGUUAUCCGGAUUUACUGGGUGGAAAGGGAGCGUAGACGGCAGUGCAAGUCUGGAGUGAAAGGCGGGGGCUCAACCCCCGGACUGCUCUUGAAACUGUACGGCUGGAGUGCAGGAGAGGUAAGUGGAAUUCCUAGUGUAGCGGUAAAAUGCGUAGAUAUUAGGAGGAACACCAGUGGCGAAGGCGGCUUACUGGACUGUAACUGACGUUGAGGCUCGAAAGCGUGGGGAGCAAACAGGAUUAGAUACCCUUGUAGUC
rnacentral:rRNA from 1 species